GACGAACGCUGGCGGCGUGCUUAACACAUGCAAGUCGAACGGAAAGGCCCUGCUUUUGUGGGGUGCUCGAGUGGCGAACGGGGGAGUAACACGUGAGUAACCUGCCCUUGACUUUGGGAUAACUUCAGGAAACUGGGGCUAUUACCGGAUAGGAGCUCCUGCUGCAUGGUGGGGGUUGGUAAGUUUCGGCGGUUGGAGAUGGUCUCGCGGCUUAUCAGCUUGUUGGUGGGGUAGUGGCUUACCAAGGCUUUGACGGGUAGGCGGCCUGAGAGGGUGACCGGCCACAUUGGGACUGCGAUACGGCCCAGACGCCUACGGUAGGCAGCAGUCGGGAAUAUUGCACAACGGGCGGAAGUCUGAUGCAGCAACGCCGCGUGCGGGAUGACGGCCUUCGGGUUGUAAACCGCUUUCGCCUGUGACGAAGCGUGAGUGACGGUAAUGGGUAAAGAAGCACCGGCUAACUACGUA
rnacentral:rRNA from 1 species